rnacentral:rRNA from 1 species
CAAUAGCGUAUAUUAAAGUUGUUGCAGUUAAAAAGCUCGUAGUUGGAUUUGUGGCGUACGGUGUGUUCCGGGCACUUGUUGUCUGAGUAACCUGCUGUUGCCAUCCUUGGGUGGAACCUGUGUGGCAUUAGGUUGUCGUGCAGGGGAUGCCCAUCAUUUACUGUGAAAAAAUUAGAGUGUUCAAAGCAGGCUCAUGCCGUUGAAUAUAUUAGCAUGGAAUAAUGAGAUAGGACUUUUUUGCUAUUUUGUUGGUUUGCGCAAAGAGGUAAUGAUUAAUAGGGACAGUUGGGGGUAUUCGUAUUCCAUUGUCAGAGGUGAAAUUCUUGGAUUUUUGGAAGACGAACUACUGCGAAAGCAUUUACCAAGGAUGUUUUCAUUAA